GUCUCCCCAGCGUUUAGCUGAGUACAUCGUCUCCAAGACCUUUCACCAAGCAUCCAUCAGGAAGGAGUUCAAGCUAAGCAAGACAUUACCCCGUUCCAGAGGCUGAGCAAAUCACAUGCCUACCCUGGGUACUCAAGAGUGGCAGUGGCUGCUUCAAUCUAUCAUGACCAGCUUUGGAGACCUGAGCCACAGUGAACCCAAGAAGAACUCACCAGUGUCCACAUGUAACAGACCUGCUUAGGUUCAUGAAGACUCACCUGUUCUGGACCAUGAAACAGCAGCUGCACCUGUGUGAAAACCUUCUGGGAUGUGGCAUUAAGACAGACAUCGGGGUGGUCGCUGCUGUUCAAGAGCUUGUCCGUGGUGAAAAUGGCCUCACUUCCUUGGGUCUGACAUGAAGAGGAGAGAAACAGCAAAAUAUUCUUUGCUGGAAAUCAGGAUGGGUCCUUGGACUUUGCUGAGCCUGUUUGUUGACGUGACCUGAGCUCACGGCUCCCUGGGUGGAUGGGAGUCUCACACCUCCAACGUGAUGGAUGGAACAACAGUGGUGGAUGAGCUGUUAUUUGCCUGAAAAAAAGUGUUUUGGGGGAAAAUUGUCUUCAGUCAUUCUCAUUUUGCAUGUGAUUUUUCCUACAUAUGUUUCUAAUCAUUAAGAAAUUCUGUAGCUUAAAUAAUGCUCUGAAAGUACGGUAACUGUUGGACUACAUUCUGU